GCUGGGUGUGGUGGUGCACACCUGUAAUCCCAGCUACUUGGGAGGCUGAGGCAGGAGAAUUACUUGAACCCAGGAGGCGAAGGUUGCAGUGAGCCAAGAUCAUGCCACUGCAGUCCAGCCUGGGUGACAGCGUGAGACUCCGUCUCAA
rnacentral:SRP_RNA from 1 species